rnacentral:rRNA from 1 species
CGGCGGACGGGUGAGUAACGCGUGGGUAACCUGCCUCAUACAGGGGGAUAACAGUUAGAAAUGACUGCUAAUACCGCAUAAGACCACGGUACCGCAUGGUACAGUGGUAAAAACUCCGGUGGUAUGAGAUGGACCCGCGUCUGAUUAGGUAGUUGGUGGGGUAACGGCCCACCAAGCCGACGAUCAGUAGCCGACCUGAGAGGGUGACCGGCCACAUUGGGACUGAGACACGGCCCAA